AGGACUUUUUGCUCCUGCCCUUACAAGAACCAUCAGAACCAGAUGCACGUCAGAGAAUGAGCCAGAGUCACCAUGGGCUUGGAAAGGUACCGGGUGCACAGAGACCAAAAGAAAUGGGAGAUGGUGUCAGCUGCAGUGGGUGAGCAGAUGUUCCAGGGCAAGCAUGAAAUCAUCACCAGAUCUGGAGAUGUGCACUCUUCCUUUGGGCCACCCACUUCCUGUGGGUUGCACCAUGGAGGUCGAGACAGACUCUGCAGACCCUGUGCACGAGCGGUGACUCGGAUGUGGCUGCCAGAGCGAGAGGCUGGUGCGUGCACAGCUCCGUGGGGACAGAGCGGAAAUCCUGGCCUGUCGGAAAUCCUGGGUGGCAGGGCCACAGUGGGGGUUGAGGCCCCAAUCCGAGUGCUCCUGUGUGGUUUGGAAGGGCAGAGAUGGAAAGGGGGCUGCUGGACGGCCUUGGGAAGUGGAAUUGUGAGACCUCAGUAGUGGAAGUAGGUUAACAGAAUCAUCAUUGGACUCUGCUGGCAUGUGGGCUCACUGCUGGGGGGGGGAAGUCAUCUGAUGGAGGCAUUGCCCAAUAACAGAAAUCCCCUAGCAGAAAAUGAGCUUUUGUUGCUGCAGUGCUGUUCUUGUGAGGUGUUCCAUCUGCUUUACAAAGAGUGUCUGACUGAGCCCAGCAACGCUUCUGUGAGAACAGCAUCUCUAGUGACAGCUUCCAGCUGUCUAGCAGAUGAGAGCACCCAGGUGUUGUGGCAAACGGGGAGGGAAUUAUAACCAUCCCAUUUAACUGAGAGAGGGAUGCUCCUGCAAGACAAAAAGGGACCACCUAGAUGGUCUGUUUCACAGCUGAAUGUCCUCAAGUAGGCACUGAAAAUGAGGGUGUGGAGCGUGCUGUAAGCUCGUAUGAGCAAAUAUAAGAGAAUAAGUCAAAAUGGUUGGAUUAAUUUUAUCUUUGGAAUGUGGACUAGGCAAUUUUAGACAGUUGCUCCAAAUGAUCUUCAAACUUUUGUGUUAAAAAGAGGGGAACCCGGGAGGACAACCUUGGGGCUCAGCCUGGCGCAGCUGUCCCGACUCUCGGUGGCCCUGGCAGGGCAGGAGGGGCUGCCAUGUGCCAGGGGGCACAGAAUGCAGUCAGAGCCCUGCGCUGGUGCUGUGGCACAGAUGAUCUCCAUAAACUGUGAUGACAUUAAUCUAAUGUAUGCGUUCUCCUACGAAUGUGAAUACCAACAAAUACAAAUCCCAUGCAAAUCAGGCGCUCGAGCAGUAUGUGCAAGCGGCUGAACAUCUGAGGACUCAAAUAUUAUAUCAGAAGUUGUUCGCAGACCUGCCUGUUCCAAAACUUGCUG
rnacentral:lncRNA from 1 species